AAAACACAAAUUAUCGAUUAUUAUUAUCGUAUCUUAAGCUGUCAUUAUCAACUCGAGCAUCAGGUGCAGUGUCAUCGCUGGAAAAAAGGUUUACCAGAAUGGCUGAUAUGAAGCUUAUCUAUAGUUCACCGAAUGAAAGUGAGAGUGACUCCGAUGGGUUCCCUUACUCGCAGUUUGUGAAGAACCUCUAUAAAAAAGCGAGGAGGCGACCACGUGGCAAUCAAUCGCCCACAAUGAGCAGGAUCAUCAUGGAAACUUCAUCAUUACGAACUUACGAUCCACAUUCGCCGAUGGAUGCUUUUUGUCUACUCCUCAAAUCACUUAAUCCGAAAUAUCACAAAUUCUUUUACUUUCUGUGCACUCUAACUGGGUUCGCUAUUCUGGCUUAUGUGACUUAUUUAAAGUACUAUUGAACAUUGCGUUAUUUCAGAUUUGUAUUAAAAACUAACACAUCUAAUAAAAAUCAAUGCAAUUAUUAA